GUCUGUGUGGUGUAGCAGUUUGAGCAUGGGACUAUGACUCUAGAGACCAGGGUUCAAAUCCCUGCUCAGCCA